UAUCAACGCAGAAGAAAUCCGAGACUCUGGAGAAAGUUCUGAAUGAUGGUUUAGCCUUGUUGGCGAAAGAAAAAGGAUCAAAAUGUCGGGGGAAAAAGCCUUCUCAUUUUCGCUUAGUGCAAGUUGGUUGUAAGAGGUUGACCCACACGCCUUACCGCUGCCGUCAAGGAUCAAUUAAGCAAAAUGAUAACCAGCAGUAUGAUAGCUCUGUGGCUGAUGACUUUCAAGUAAAUGAUGAGCACAAGCAAACAGACGUUGAUAUUGAGCUAGAGAAUCUUAUAUUUGAAUGCAGAGGACUUUUGGCUUCAGAGAAAGAGGAUGCCAAGAAAUGGUCUGAUCGCAUGGAAGAGCUUCAUUCUCUUUGGGAAAAUAAUAGA